AGAUUACGCAAGUCUCACAUCACAGUUUCUGCCUUUAAAGAAUCACCCAUCUUUUAAGAGAAAUCACAAAAAAUGAAUGUUAUUCCACCAAGGAACCAACCGAGAUCACCAAAAUCUCAUAAAGCCGAAUUGCUCUCUUUAAAAUCACUUCACAUAAGACACAUAUCACAGAAUAAAUUGUGCUCCACGGAGGAAUGUAUGUAUCUAUAGUAUUACUUGAGUUUAAAGGUAUUAUUUUCAACAAAAACCUUCAAGAACUCAAACCCUAAUCACUAAAAGAAGAGUGGUUUUCUUGCAAACAGAGAAGUGAGAGAAGAGAGAGUCACUUUUUCUUAGAGAGAAUGAGACGUGAGAGAGACAGUAACUUGAAAGGCUAGAAGAAAA
rnacentral:lncRNA from 1 species